rnacentral:RNase_P_RNA from 1 species
GGAGAAGGCCAAGCAGUCGCUCCGUCGUUUCGGCGGCGGGGAGGAAAGUCCGGGCUCCACAGGACAGGGUGCCAGGUAACGCCUGGGAGGCGCGAGCCUACGGAAAGUGCCACAGAAAACAUACCGCCGAACCGGCGCGAGCCGGUGGUAAGGGUGAAAUGGUGCGGUAAGAGCGCACCGCGCGCGUGGUAACACGCGUGGCAGGGUAAACCCCACCCGGAGCAAGGCCGAAUAGGGAUCCCAUGGUGUUGUCCGCACCGGAUCCGGGUAGGCUGCUUCAGGCGCGUGGCGACACGCGUCGCAGAUGAAUGGCUGCUCACGACAGAACCCGGCUUAUCGGCCCUCUCCUCCG